CCUACGGGUGGCAGCAGUGAGGAAUAUUGGUCAAUGGACGAGAGUCUGAACCAGCCAAGUAGCGUGAAGGAUGACUGCCCUAUGGGUUGUAAACUUCUUUUAUAUGGGAAUAAAACGUUCCACGUGUGGGAUUUUGUAUGUACCAUAUGAAUAAGGAUCGGCUAACUCCGUGCCAGCAGCCGCGGUAAUACGGAGGAUCCGAGCGUUAUCCGGAUUUAUUGGGUUUAAAGGGAGCGUAGGUGGAUUGUUAAGUCAGUUGUGAAAGUUUGCGGCUCAACCGUAAAAUUGCAGUUGACACUGGCAGUCUUGAGUACAGUAGAGGUGGGCGGAAUUCGUGGUGUAGCGGUGAAAUGCUUAGAUAUCACGAAGAACUCCGAUUGCGAAGGCAGUUCACUGGACUGCAACUGACACUGAGGCUCGAAAGUGUGGGUAUCAAACAGGAUUAGAUACCCCAGUAGUC
rnacentral:rRNA from 1 species